UACGUAGGGGGCUAGCGUUGUCCGGAAUCAUUGGGCGUAAAGAGCGUGUAGGCGGUCCGGUAAGUCCGCUGUGAAAGUCGGGGGCUCAACCCUCGAAUGCCGGUGGAUACUGUCGGGCUAGAGUGCGGAAGAGGCGAGUGGAAUUCCUGGUGUAGCGGUGAAAUGCGCAGAUAUCAGGAGGAGCACCUGUGGUGUAGACAGCUUACUGGACCACUUCUGACGCUGAGACACGAAAGCGUGGGUAGCAAACAGG
rnacentral:rRNA from 1 species